rnacentral:rRNA from 1 species
GACGAACGCUGGCGGCGUGCCUAAUACAUGCAAGUAGAACGAGUUGCGAACGGGUGAGUAAUGUCUGGGAAACUGCCUGAUGGAGGGGGAUAACUACUGGAAACGGUAGCUAAUACCGCAUACCAUCAGAUGUGCCCAGAUGGGAUUAGCUAGUAGGUGAGGUAACGGCGAACCUAGGCGACGAUCCCUAGCUGGUCUGAGAGGAUGACCAGCAACACUGGGAAUGAGACACGGUCCAGACGCCUACGGGAGGCAGCAGUGGGGAAUAUUGCACAAUGGGCGCAAGCCUGAUGCAGCCAUGCCGCGUGUGUGAAGAAGGCCUUCGGGUUGUAAAGCACUUUCAGCGGGGAGGCGUUACCCGCAGAAGAAGCACCGGCUAACUCCGUGCCAGCAGCCGCGGUAAUAC